UACGGGGGGGGCAAGCGUUGCUCGGAAUUACUGGGCGUAAAGGGCUCGUAGGCGGCCAACUAAGUCAGACGUGAAAUCCCUCGGCUUAACCGGGGAACUGCGUCUGAUACUGGAUGGCUUGAGUGUGGGAGAGGAAUGCGGAAUUCCAGGUGUAGCGGUGAAAUGCGUAGAUAUCUGGAGGAACACCUGAGGUGAAGACGGGUUGCUGGGCCGACACUGACGCUGAUGCGCGAAAGCCAGGGGAGCAAACGGG
rnacentral:rRNA from 1 species